rnacentral:rRNA from 1 species
GAUGAACGCUGGCGGCGUGCCUAAUUCAUGCAAGUCGAGCGAACGGACGAGAAGCUUGCUUCUCUGAUGUUAGCGGCGGAUGGGUGAGUAACACGUGGAUAACCUACCUAUAAGACUGGGAUAACUUCGGGAAACCGGAGCUAAUACCGGAUAAUAUUUUGAACCGCAUGGUUCAAAAGUAAAAGACGGUCUUGCUGUCACUUAUAGAUGUAUCCGAGUUGCAUUAGCUAGUUGGUAAGGUAACGGCUUACCAAGGCAACGAUGCAUAGCCGACCUGAGAGGAUGAUAAGCCACACUGGAACUGAGACACGGUCCAGACUCCUACGGGAGGCAGCAGUAGGGAAUCUUCCGCAAUGGGCGAAAGCCUGACGGAGCAACGCCGCGUGAGUGAUGAAGGUCUUCGGAUCGUAAAGCUCUGUUAUUAGGAAAGAACAUAUAUGUGAGUAACUGUGCACAUCAUGACGGUACCUAAUCAGAAAGCCACGGCUAACUACGUG